rnacentral:lncRNA from 1 species
CUGAAUCUACCUGUGCGCUGCAUGGCUGUGAUUUCACUACAACCAAGCUUUCCCUUGUGUGGGAAGGAAACACUAUGAACCUGCCGGGAGUUGCACAUCAGCCUCGAUUUCUCAGGAACCAGGAGCUCCAGCUUAUCAAGGACCUGAUGGGGUUGAUGAGCCAGCUUUAUUCUAAAUGACUGAAGACUUCUGUUCUUUUCAACAAACACAGUCCUCCAAUUAGGAGCUGCAAAUAAGAUUAUAUGCCCUGAAUAAGUCUGAAAAGGUCCUUUUAUAAUUACAAAGUUUGUGUG